GACGAACGCUGGCGGCGUGCUUAACACAUGCAAGUCGAGCGGUAAGGCCCUUUCGGGGGUACACGAGCGGCGAACGGGUGAGUAACACGUGGGUGACCUGCCCUCAGCUCUGGGAUAAGCCUGGGAAACCGGGUCUAAUACUGGAUAUGACUCCAUGACGCAUGUUGUGGGGUGGAAAGCCUUGUGCGGCUGAGGAUGGGCCCGCGGCCUAUCAGCUUGUUGGUGGGGNGAUGGCCUACCAAGGCGACGACGGGUAGCCGGCCUGAGAGGGCGACCGGCCACACUGGGACUGAGACACGGCCCAGACUCCUACGGGAGGCAGCAGUGGGGAAUCUUGCGCAAUGGGCGAAAG
rnacentral:rRNA from 1 species